GUGGUUUCCAUCUCUUAUUGAUGUCCUGAGAACUUGGCUCUACAGAAUGGUCCCACCCUAUUUGUCUGGCAUGAGUCCUGCAAAGUUUCUUUUCAUCAUUUGGGGGAUGAGAUGGGGGUAUAUAGGUUUGCAAGUGACUAGGAGCUAAGUCAGGACCUUGUGGAGCCACUCAGAGUUAACUGUCAAGUAGCCUCCUUUCCCCCUUCCCUUGCAGGAUGAUUGCCUGCAAGACAGGGCCUGGAGGCCAGGGCACCCAAGGCCACAGAAAUGCCCAGGGAUGAGUCCUGGCUGGAGAUGCCUUGGCCGAGCUGACUGUGCACUUCCAGGGCUCACAGGGGUCUGGCCAGGAGACUGAGCAAGGGGACCAGGGAGGUUGUGUAGCAGGCUUCUGCACAGCAAGGCAGACAUUCUUCUUGGAGCCCCCAACCCAAAUCAGGUCUUCCACCUCCUCUUCCUAAAGACCCUUUACUGCUGUCGUUCUUUUACUGAACUACAAGUUUAGAGGACAUGGAUUUCAGUGCCCUCAUCUGGCCAACCAUCUUCAGCUGCCAAUGGGCAAGGUAACCUCCCUCCCUACCAAGACCUGACUCAGGACCUUUCCUUAAGGAGAUGUCCUGUUCUUUCUUUCCCACCAGAACUGCCCUGGCCCAGACCCCAUUUCUGUCUGGUGACCAGGACAGUCCCCUCACCAGUCUCCCAGGUUGGGGAGGGCAGAUCCUCCUCAGCUCCCUGCCCCUGAGAGACCCCAACCGUCUUGUGUGGCUCCGGCCCACAGAGUGAUAUCCAUGGCCCAUAUCUCUCAAAACUCUCCCCUCCCACUCUGAAUCCACCCUCUACUGCAUGCUCCCCUCACAGAACAGACUAAUUUUUGUGUGUGUGUCCUUGUUUUGCCUACCUGUACCCCAGACAGACUUUUCUGUCUUAGAACUACCUGUCCCUCUUUGGACAGUGUCUUCCUGGUACUGCACAUGAAGAUGUCCCGCUCUCCCCUGCUCAAGGAGAGAGUGCCUGACCUGAGCUGGGCCCAUCAGAUCCAGUACUUACCUGGAAUAGGAAAAAGAUGGGGAGAGUGACCAAAGACUACAAAAAUCUCUGAAGCUUAUCUACUUGAGAGAGAGUCCCUGAAGAUACUGGCCUCUCAUUCCUGCUAUGUAUAUCCAAUGUGACUGAACUCUGAAUAAAAUAUACAAGUUAUAACAAUGUAGCAAUUGACCCAGCAAACGAGGACACAAACGUGUUGAAGGGUAAGGUGGUGAGAGGCGUGUUUGGGGGUGGUGGUGAUGAGCAAGUAUGUGAAGGAGAGGUAGUGCCUAAACUUGAAAAUCAAAAAGUAAUAAUAUCUAUUUAGGCAUAAGGAGAUAAAUAAUGAAAUAAUUGCUUCUAUGUGAUGAAACUCUGGGAGUACACAAGGGCACUGCUAUUUUACUAAACAAAUUUUCAAGUAUAUAUAACUUUGAUAAAGUAUCCAAAUAAUUCCUUUCCCAUAUAAGUAUGUGUAUAUAUGUAUUCAUUGUAUUUUGAAGAUAAGUUUUUACACAGUCAUGUUAAUCGCUUUCAUUUAAGGAUUUGAGUUUGAUGUCUUGCAUACAAUGUGAUCCCACUGUAUGACUACACAAAUGUUGGCAAAAGUAAGUUCAGAGGAAAUGGUAGGCAAGUACUUCCCAGUUUUGACCAGAAGAUGGAGAAAAAAGAAUUCUCAAAAAAUAUUAAAAGUGUCUACGGAGAAAUAGACAAGCGAUGCACGACAGAUACAUGUGUCAGUCUGGUCCCUGCAGUUGUAUUUGUAAUAAUACACAUUGGAGCAAUUUCAUGGCCAUCGGUUAGAGAAUGUUUGAGGAAUGAUCCUUUCAUAUCAAGAAGGACAUUUCAAAGAUCAAAACCUGAUGGAAAUGCUGGAGACCAUGGCGCUGAUAGGAGCUCAUGCGUGUUGUCCAAUUACUACGUGACAGGCAUUGGCUCCAUGCUUUUCCUGCACUGCUCAUUUAAACACUGGACAACCUAAGUGUUCUGAUUUAGCCCAUUGGACAGAUAGAAAUGGAGGCACAGAAGAUUAAUGUGUUUAACUUCAAACCCUGGCAGAUUAGGUUUUUCAUCCAGAGCCUGUGGCUUCACCAUAGCUGUGAUUCACGUUCUGUCAUUCUCCACUUUAGGAAUUUCCAGUAUUCCAAAUAUGAGAAGCUGAGAAAACAAACAACAAACUCAAAACCCUAAAAACCAGGAUACGUAAGGGUAGAUGUUUGUUGGGUGUGGAUUAAAAAUGGACUUUUUUUGCCCCAAGCAACAAAGAGGCACCUUAGAAAAUAGACAAGAGACAAGAAGAAGAGAAGCUUUAAGAGAUAUUUGGUCCAAGGAAGAGACUCUUCAGAUGGAAGGUCACGUCAGCUAGAAACAUUAAUAUGACUGGAUGGGCUCAAACCACUGACUUUUCAGUCAACAUCCGACAGCACUAACCUAGUGUUCCAGAGACACUGCUUGUUAAACAGUGAAAGCUGUUGCUCAAUUGUGUCAUCCGUAAUUGUCAAAUAUUGCCAUUUAGUAGCACAAGGAAGUAUUCUCCGUUGCCAAGCUAGAGCACCCAUAACUCUUCUGUUUUGUUGAACAUUCUUCCCCACCACAAACCCUCUUUAGAAGACUGGGGGCUC
rnacentral:lncRNA from 1 species